AGCCUUCAAUUGUGGACAUCGAGGUAUCCACUUGCACCACAAUAGAGCCUGAGCCAUGGAAUGCAACACAAAAGUCCAUUGUGAUACUUUUAGGAUUUCUAGUCAUCAUCGUUGUUGGCAGCACAACAAUCGACCUCUUCAUGCAGUCUACGCGGAAGCUUGCUGGAAAGCACAGUGCGCUCAUCGCUGUUGUUACCGCGUUCUCGGCAGCGGCUAACACGCGAGCGCUGCUCAAGGUUGCCGACAGGGCUGAUGCCGACCACUACCAGCUGCAGUUCCUGCACGGCCUGCGAUUCUUCAGCCUCGCCUACAUCGUCAUGGGCCACUCCUACCAGACCAUGUCGGACA
rnacentral:lncRNA from 1 species